ACAUUCCCUGUUAAGGAUGUUGUUUUGCCUACACUUGCCCAAAAUGAUUGCUUAUAAGCUGUGGAAGGAACAACCAACCAUGAGCGAUGCACUCAAAUGGUACAACGAGUAGGAAAGAGAGGGAGGACUCUUGGACUGUCAUGGACUGUCAAUGAUGCUGAAAGCCUUUCAGACUGGGUACAAUCUCACACAGCUGUGGUGAUAAACAUCAUAUUCCACCACAAAAGAGUGUGCCAAGAGACUGUCGGAGGCCAGCAACCUUUGACUGAAGAGAGUUUGUUAAAAGAGCUAAAUGUCACUGAAAAUGUGCUGUUAAUCCUACUCAUCAACAGAUGUUAGCCACGAAGUGAUAAUAAAGAGAAAAAAGAAAAGACGU